rnacentral:misc_RNA from 1 species
AUGAACUUUGGCCUGGCUUCGCUUUGCAAAAGGCAAGCCGGCUAUCUUCAUAUUCCACACACACUUGUGCACUUUCGACGGUCCGCAAGGACUGUUGGAAAACUCUUGUGAUGUUAAACAACGUCUAGGAUGUUCAUAUCCAUUUGAAAAAUGUAAUGAA